rnacentral:tRNA from 1 species
AGCAGUGUGGCUUGGUGGAUAAAACACUGGCCUGGGAGCCAGAGAAUCUGGGUUCUAAUCCAAGCUCUGCCA